rnacentral:rRNA from 1 species
CACGUAGGGGGCAAGCGUUGUCCGGAUUCAUUGGGCGUAAAGAGCUCGUAGGCGGUUCGAUAAGUCGGGUGUGAAACCUCCAGGCUCAACCUGGAGACGCCACCCGAUACUGUCGUGACUAGAGUCCAGUAGGGGAGCGUGGAAUUCCUGGUGUAGCGGUGAAAUGCGCAGAUAUCAGGAGGAACACCGAUGGCGAAGGCAGGUCUCUGGGCUAUAACUGACGCUCAUGCACGAAAGCGUGGGGAGCAAACAGG